CCUUAACGUGCGCGUCAGCGCUCUUAGAGUUUGAUCCUGGCUCAGAUUGAACGCUGGCGGCAUGCCAUUACACAUGCAAGUCGAACGGCAGCACGGACUUCGGUCUGGUGGCGAGUGGCGAACGGGUGAGUAAAGCAUCGGAACGCGCCCGAUCGGGGGGGAUAACGCAGCGAAAGCUGCGCUAAUACCGCAUAAGAUCUACGGAUGAAAGCGGGGGACUCGCAAGAGCCUCGCGCGAACGGAGCGGCCGAUGUCAGAUUAGGUAGUUGGUGGGGUAAAAGCCUACCAAGCCGACGAUCUGUAGCUGGUCUGAGAGGACAACCAGCCACACUGGGACUGAGACACGGCCCAGACUCCUACGGGAGGCAGCACUGGGGAAUUUUGGACAAUGGGCGCAAGCCUGAUCCAGCCAUGCCGCGUGCAGGAAGAAGGCCUCCGGGUUGUAAACUGCUUUUGUACCGAACGAAAAAGCCCUGGUUAAUACCUAGGGCUGAUGACGGUACCGUCAGAAUAAGCACCGGCUAACUACGUGCCAGCAGCCCCGGUAAUUCUUUGGGGGCGAGCGGUAAUCUGAAUUGCGGGGCAUGAUGCGUGCGCAGGCCGGUUUGUAAGACAGACGUGAAAUCCUCGGGCUCAACCUGGGAACUGCCUUUGUGACUGCAAGGCUGGAGUGCGGUCGACGGGGAUGGAAUUCCGCGUGUAGGAGUGAAAUGUGUAGAUAUGCAGACGAACACCGCUGGCGAAGGCAAUCCCCUGGGGCUGCACUGAGGCUCAUGCUCGAAAGCGUGCGGAGCAAAUUCGAUUAGAUACGCUGGUAGACCACGCCCUGAACGAUGUCAACUGGCUGUUGGGUCUUAGCUGACUCAGUUACGAAGCGCUACGCGUGAAGAUGACCGCCUGUGGUAGCUACGGCUCGCGACGUUGCAGACUCAAAAGGAAUUGACGAGGGACCAGCCCAAGCGAUUGCAUGAUCGUGGCUUUAAAUACGGGGCAGCGCGCACAUUAUGUCCAGCUAUUGCACGAUGACCGCUAUCCCGCAUAGAUUAGCGAGUGCUGCAAGGAAGAUCUGCAGCCAGGUGCUACAUGGACUGUCACAGUCAUCAGGUCCGUAGGAUGUUAGCGAUGACUUCUUCGAUCCAGGUCAAACCUAUGUUCUAUCUAAG
rnacentral:rRNA from 1 species